GGGGCGCUGAGAGGGUGACAGCCCCGUCGGCCCGGGACCCUGCCGCAUCACGAGGCGUUGUCGGCGAGUCGGGUUGUUUGGGAAUGCAGCCCCAAUCGGGCGGUAAAUUCCGUCCAAGGCUAAAUACGGGCGAGAGACCGAUAGCGAACAAGUACCGCGAGGGAAAGAUGAAAAGGACUUUGAAAAGAGAGUCAAAGAGUGCUUGAAAUUGUCAGGAGGGAAACGAAUGGGGG
rnacentral:rRNA from 1 species